rnacentral:rRNA from 2 species
GAAGCGGCAACAGCUCAAAUUUGAAAUCUGGCGCAAGCCCGAGUUGUAAUUUGUAGAGGAUGCUUCAGGGCAGCGGCCGGUCUAAGUUCCUUGGAACAGGACGUCAUAGAGGGUGAGAAUCCCGUAUGCGACCGGCUGGCACCCGUCACGUAGCUCCUUCGACGAGUCGAGUUGUUUGGGAAUGCAGCUCUAAAUGGGAGGUAAAUUUCUUCUAAAGCUAAAUACCGGCCAGAGACCGAUAGCGCACAAGUAGAGUGAUCGAAAGAUGAAAAGCACUUUGGAAAGAGAGUUAAAAAGCACGUGAAAUUGUUGAAAGGGAAGCGCAUGCAACCAGACUUGUCGGCGGUGUUCCGCCGGUCUUCUGACCGGUCUACUCGCCGCCGGCAGGCCAGCAUCAUCUGGGCGCGCCGGACAAAGGCGCGGGGAAUGUGGCUCCUCGGAGCGUUAUAGCCCCGCGCACAAUACGGCGCCGCUCGGGUGAGGUCCGCGCUUCGGCUAGGAUGCUGGCGUAAUGGUUGUCUGCGGCCCGUCUUGAAACACGGACCAAGGAGUCUAACAUCUAUGCGAGUGUUCGGGUGUCAAACCCCUACGCGUAAUGAAAGUGAACGGAGGUGGGAAGCGCAAGCUGCACCAUCGACCGAUCCUGGUGUCUUCGGAUGGAUUUGAGUAAGAGCAUAGCUGUUGGGACCCGAAAGAUGGUGAACUAUGCCUGAAUAGGGUGAAGCCAGAGGAAACUCUGGUGGA